AACCUAUGUUGAGGACAUUUCCAGAAGAGCUCCUUGAACCUAUCCCAUGUCUCAAAAAGAGACUUGAAUUCUAUUUGGACAAAAGAAGAUAUCUCAUUCCUGAGCUU